rnacentral:rRNA from 1 species
UACGUAGGGUGCAAGCGUUGUCCGGAAUUAUUGGGCGUAAAGCGCGCGCAGGCGGUUCCUUAAGUCUGAUGGGAAAGCCCACGGCUCAACCGUGGAGGGUCAUUGGAAACUGGGGAACUUGAGUGCAGAAGAGAAGAGCGGAAUUCCACGUGUAGCGGUGAAAUGCGUAGAGAUAUGGAGGAACACCAGUGGCGAAGGCGGCUCUUUGGUCUGUAACUGACGCUGAGGCGCGAAAGCGUGGGGAGCAAACAGG